rnacentral:rRNA from 1 species
UACGAAGGGGGCUAGCGUUGCUCGGAAUCACUGGGCGUAAAGCGCACGUAGGCGGACUCUUAAGUCGGUGGUGAAAUCCUGGAGCUCAACUCCAGAACUGCCUUCGAUACUGAGAGUCUCGAGUCCGGGAGAGGUGAGUGGAACUGCGAGUGUAGAGGUGAAAUUCGUAGAUAUUCGCAAGAACACCAGUGGCGAAGGCGGCAUCCUGGACCGGUAUUGACACUGAGGCGCGAAAGCCAGGGGAGCAAACGGG